rnacentral:rRNA from 1 species
GCCCAACCGUAAACUUUAACUUACACUCAAAUCGCCAGGGAACUACGAGCAAUGCUUAAAACCCAAAGGACUUGACGGUGCCCCAUUCCACCUAGAGGAGCCUGUCCUAUAAUCGAUAACCCCCGUUUAACCUCACCAUUCUUUGUCACCCCAGUCUGUAUACCUCCGUCGUCAGUUUACCACGUGAGCGCCCCUCAGUAAGCAUAAAGGCUAAUUCGCCAAAACGUCAGGUCAAGGUGCAGCUUAUAGAAUGGGAAGAGAUGGGCUACACUCUCUAAUAUAGAAAAUACGGAAAACUGUCUAUGAAACUUCAGUUAGAAGGCGGAUUUAGCAGUAAAAUGAGACAAAAGUGCUCAUUUAAAUACGGCCCUGGGGUGUGUACACACCGCCCGUCACCCUCUUCGAAACUAAAAAAAUAGUUUUUAACACCCUAUAAACUUAAAGAAGAGGCAAGUCGUAACAUGGUAAGCUUACCGGAAGGUGUGCUUGGAAAC